AAGAUGUGAUUAUGAUGGAUUGUGCUUCAAAGCAAUUAGAAAGCUUGCAUCAGCUGCAUUUGCAUGGCUGAUUAUAUGAGUCUUGUCAACCUUCUGGCCUGCUACAUUGUCGCUGAAAAAAUCUGGAGAAUUUGUCUUGAUACUGGGAAAGUGCAAUGCUGUUUUAAAACUCUACAUUUCAAGAAAACUGAACAUCUUUGUCAUAAACCUGGGCCAGCUGUACAGUUCUCUGGCGUAUCUUUCCGGUACCCCCAUCUGAAGUCCUUGUGGGUAAGACCUACCUUACUUUCUUAUCCCUAGUGCCUGUUGACCUGGAUUUGAUGAUCAGGAGAUGUUUGAAUAAAUAAAUGAAUGAGUGAACA
rnacentral:lncRNA from 1 species